UUCCCCUAGUAACGGCGAGUGAAGAGGGAAGAGCCCAAGAUUGAAAGCUGGCGUCUUCGGCGUCCGCAUUGUAAUCUCAAGAAGUGUUUUCCGCUUCGGACCAUGCCUAAGUCCCUUGGAAAAGGGCAUCAUAGAGGGUGAUAAUCCCGUACAUGGCAUGGAGCGCCCGAAGCUUUGUGAUACGCUUUCUAAGAGUCGAGUUGUUUGGGAAUGCAGCUCAAAAUGGGUGGUAAAUGCCAUCUAAGGCUAAAUAUUGGGGAGAGACCGAUAGCGAACAAGUACAGUGAUGGAAAGAUGAAAAGAACUUUGAAAAGAGAGUUAAACAGUACGUGAAAUUGCCAAAAGGGAAGGGUAGGAGGUCAGAGAUGCGUUCUGGGAUUCAGCCUUGCUUUUGCUUGGUGUUUUUCCCAGUUUGCAGGCCAACGUCGGUUUUGGGCGCUGGAGAAGGGUGGAAGGAAUGUGGCACCCCUCGGGGUGUGUUAUAGCCUUCUACUGGAUACAGUGACCGAGACCGAGGACAGCAGCGUACUCGCAAGAGCGGGCCUUCGGGCACCUUUACGCUUAGGGCGUUGGCAUAAUGGC
rnacentral:rRNA from 1 species